AGCAGAUUAGAGCAGUUUAUAGCAGCAGACAAGAAGAAGAGAGCACACACACACACAGACACACACACUAACUGGACUAACUGGACCAAACUGGACAAACUAGACCAAACUGGACUAACUGGAUCAAACUGGACCAACUGGACCAAACUGGACUAACUGGACCUACCUGCACUAAAUUGGGCCAGAUGCAGUGAACUGGGCCCCGUUUGUCUGAUAGGGUCUACCUGGACAGAGCUGGGCGGUACCACUGGUGGUGUUGGUGGUUCUGGUAGUGGAGGAAGGUUAAAGUGGACUGAACCGGUCCGAAUUGGUCUGGGGACAGGACGCGGUCUGGAUGGAUGGUUUCCAGGCGUACGGGGCGGGGAAGGCAGGCGGAGCUUUCGACCCUCUGACCUUCAUCAGGCAGCCGCAGACGGUGGUCAGGAUCCUCUGCUGGCUUUUCUCCAUCGUGAUCCUGGGCUGCAUUGCUAACGAGGGCUACGUUAACCGACCUGAGGAGGUCGAGGAGUAUUGCAUCUUCAACCGCAACCAGAAUGCCUGCAACUACGGUGUCGCCAUGGGAACACUGUGCUUCCUCUGCAGCGCCGCUUUCUUGGCGCUGGACGUUUAUUUCCCCCAGAUCAGUGGCGUGAAGGACCGCAAGAAAGCCGUCAUGGCCGACAUCGGGGUGUCAGCUCUGUGGUCUCUCGUCUGGUUCGUGGGCUUCUGCUUUCUGGCCAAUCAGUGGCAGGUUUCCAAAGAAGAAGACAACCCUCUGAAGGAAGGAGCGGAUGCUGCCAGGGCCGCCAUCGUCUUCUCCUUCUUCUCCAUCUUUACCUGGGGAGGCCUCACUUUGCUGUCGUUGGAGCGUCUGAAGAGAGUCUCCUUUGAAGAAGAAUACAACAAACUCUUCAUCCCUCCUCUCGCCUGAAACAAACAUACCUAACUUCACCUGUCUCCUUCAGCCAAUCAGAGACCAGUGUUUUUGUUCUUCCGGUUUCUUCAUCAGCUUAGUUUGGACUCUGAUUGGCCGCCUAGACUGCCUGUCAUCCAAAGUGCUUUUCUAUGACCAUGGCCAUCCAGUCCCUGCUGGCCGUCUACAGAUUCAAACUGGGAUCCGACUCUGUUACCUUCAACCAGGAAUACGUCGACCCAAACCAACAGGAACCUGUGGAGGCUCUGCCCACUGAUGAGUAGAACCUUGCACAUCACCAGGUGUGGAGGCGGGGCUUACACAGUGUUGCAUUCUGGGUAGUUUUCGUUUGAUGGUUAUUUUCAAUUAACGUUGUUGUGAUGUGUUCAAAGACUCGAUACACGUUAAUGUUAAAAGAACAGAAAUUUUAAAAAACAACAUGAUGUUACAGUCUGAUGACCGUCCACCAAGGAUCGUGUCCACUCAGUAAGCAGCCAAUCACAGUCCAGAACACCAACUUUAAAAUACCAUUCCAUUUUUUAGAGAAAACCUACAACAGAAGCCAUUUUGUACGAACAAUGCUAACUUGUUAGCAGCACAGUCUUGCUUGCUGCCAAAUAUUAGCUUGUUAGCAAUGAAGUGUGGCUAGCUGGUUAGCUAAUGCUAGCCUUUAGCAAAAUGUUUUGGAUCAUCACCUGUCAAUCAUUAGUUCUCUAGCUAACUUUAGCAUAACUUCUACACUACGAGUCAAAAGUUUGGACUCACCUUCUCAUUCAAUGCUUUUUAUUUAUUUGUAUUAUUUUCUACAUUGUACAUUAUUACUGAAGAUUCACACUUUUCUAUUUACAAUAUAAUUCCAUAUGUAUUCUUUUAUAGUUUUGAUGUCUUUGGUAUGGAUACAUGAAUUCUACAAUGUAGAAAAUAAAUAAAUAAAAGCCACUGAAGAAGGUGUGUAAACUUUUGACUGGUAGUGUAACUGUGACUGGUAGUGUACAUUAAAGUGUGGCUAAUCAGCUAACUGCACUGGCUACAAGAUCAGGUUUGUUCCAGAUGUGCGGAAUAAAAAAUGAGACGCCAUCUUGUUUCAUUUACUUGUUAAGAUUAAAGAACUGUUUGUUUUCCAACACGUUGAUCUGUUCAGUGUUUUUCAGAACGUUUCUCAGAAGAAGCUCUAAAAACAUAUUAACAUAGAGCUACAGCGCCACCUGUUGGAGCAAUAAAUCUCCCUCACAAUGUGGCUCAUGCUUGUCAGUCAAUAAACCGCAUUUUGAGUUUUUACGUACAUCGAAGUCAUGUGAGCAAAGCAAACAUUUUCCAUUUCUGACUGAGUUCUUCAUGUCACAUACUGGAUUCUGAUUGGCUGCGACACUGAUCAUCAUCACUUUAAGGUGUUUGGGUUCAAUGGUGCUGUUCUGUUUUUUAUCCUUUAGUCUUAGUGUGUGUGAACAGAGAAACUGACUGUGUGUUUGUCUGAUAAUAAACAAAUAUUUACUGUC